rnacentral:rRNA from 1 species
AGAGUUUGAUCCUGGCUCAGAUUGAACGCUGGCGGCAUGCCUAAGACAUGCAAGUCGAACGGUAACGGGCCCUUCGGGGUGCCGACGAGUGGCGGACGGGUGAGUAACGCUUGGGAAUCUGCCUGGUAGUGGGGGACAACCCGGGGAAACUCGGGCUAAUACCGCAUACGCCCUACGGGGGAAAGCGGGGGAUCUUCGGACCUCGCGCUAUCAGAUGAGCCCAAGUCGGAUUAGCUUGUUGGUGGGGUAAGAGCCUACCAAGGCGACGAUCCGUAGCUGGUCUGAGAGGACGAUCAGCCACACUGGGACUGAGACACGGCCCAGACUCCUACGGGAGGCAGCAGUCGGGAAUAUUGGACAAUGGGGGAAACCCUGAUCCAGCAAUGCCGCGUGUGUGAAGAAGGCCUGCGGGUUGUAAAGCACUUUCAGCGAGGAGGAAAAGCUCAGGGUUAAUACCUCUGAGUCUUGACGUUACUCGCAGAAGAAGCACCGGCUAACUCCGUGCCAGCAGCCGCGGUAAUACGGAGGGUGCGAGCGUUAAUCGGAAUUACUGGGCGUAAAGCGCGCGUAGGCGGUUGCGUAAGUUGGGGUGUG